AUUGAACGCUGGCGGCAGGCCUAACACAUGCAAGUCGAGCGGAUGACGGGAGCUUGCUCCUGGAUUCAGCGGCGGACGGGUGAGUAAUGCCUAGGAAUCUGCCUGGUAGUGGGGGACAACGUUUCGAAAGGAACGCUAAUACCGCAUACGUCCUACGGGAGAAAGCAGGGGACCUUCGGGCCGUGCGCUAUCAGAUGAGCCUAGGUCGGAUUAGCUAGUUGGUGAGGUAAUGGCUCACCAAGGCGACGAUCCGUAACUGGUCUGAGAGGAUGAUCAGUCACACUGGAACCGAGACACGGUCCAGACUCCUACGGGAGGCAGCAGUGGGGAAUAUUGGACAAUGGGCGAAAGCCUGAUCCAGCCAUGCCGCGUGUGUGAAGAAGGUCUUCGGAUUGUAAAGCACUUUAAGUUGGGAGGAAGGGCAGUAAGCGAAUACCUUGCUGUUUUGACGUUACCGACAGAAUAAGCACCGGCUAACUCUGUGCCAGCAGCCGCAGUAAGAC
rnacentral:rRNA from 1 species